rnacentral:rRNA from 1 species
CUGAUCGGCCACAUUGGGACUGAGACACGGCCCAAACUCCUACGGGAGGCUGCAGUAGGGAAUCUUCCACAAUGGGCGAAAGCCUGAUGGAGCAACGCCGCGUGUGUGAUGAAGGCUUUCGGGUCGUAAAGCACUGUUGUAUGGGAAGAAAAGUUAAGGUAGGGAAUGACCUUAGCCUGACGGUACCAUACCAGAAAGGGACGGCUAAAUACGUGCCAGCAGCCGCGGUAAUACGUAUGUCCCGAGCGUUAUCCGGAUUUAUUGGGCGUAAAGCGAGCGCAGACGGUUGGUUAAGUCUGAUGUGAAAGCCCGGAGCUCAACUCCGGAAAGGCAUUGGAAACUGGUUAACUUGAGUGCAGUAGAGGUAAGUGGAACUCCAUGUGUAGCGGUGGAAUGCGUAGAUAUAUGGAAGAACACCAGCGGCGAAGGCGGCUUACUGGACUGUAACUGACGUUGAGGCUCGAAAGUGUGGGUAGCAAACAGGAUUAGAUACCCUGGUAGUCCACACCGUAAACGAUGAACACUAGGUGUUAGGAGGUUUCCGCCUCUUAGUGCCGAAGCUAACGCAUUAAGUGUUCCGCCUGGGGAGUACGACCGCAAGGUUGAAACUCAAAGGAAUUGACGGGGACCCGCACAAGCGGUGGAGCAUGUGGUUUAAUUCGAAGCAACGCGAAGAACCUUACCAGGUCUUGACAUCCUUUGAAGCUUUUAGAAAUAGAAGUGUUCUCUUCGGAGACAAAGUGACAGGUGGUGCAUGGUCGUCGUCAGCUCGUGUCGUGAGAUGUUGGGUUAAGUCCCGCAACGAGCGCAACCCUUAUUGUUAGUUGCCAGCAUUCAGAUGGGCACUCUAGCGAGACUGCCGGUGACAAACCGGAGGAAGGCGGGGACGACGUCAGAUCAUCAUGCCCCUUAUGACCUGGGCUACACACGUGCUACAAUGGCGUAUACAACGAGUUGCCAACCUGCGAAGGUGAGCUAAUCUCUUAAAGUACGUCUCAGUUCGGACUGCAGUCUGCAACUCGACUGCACGAAGUCGGAAUCGCUAGUAAUCGCGGAUCAGCACGCCGCGGUGAAUACGUUCCCGGGUCUUGUACACACCGCCCGUCACACCAUGGAAGUUUGUAAUGCCCAAAGCCGGUGGCCUAACCGUAAGGAGGGAACCGUCUAAGG